UGGUUCUCUCCGAAAUGCAUUUAGGUGCAGCCUAUAAACAAGAUCCCAUAGAGGUAGAGCUCUGAUAAGGCUAGGGGUGUCGAGAGACAUUACCAAACCUUGUUAAACUUCGAAUGCUAUAAGGAAUAAUACAGAGUGAGACUGCGGGGGCUAAGCUUCGUAGUCGAAAGGAUAACAGUCCAGAUUUCUAACUAAGGUCCCUAAAUUAUAGUUAAGUGGCAAAGGAGGUGUCUUUGCUUAAACAUCCAGGAGGUUUGCUUAGAAGCAGCAAUCCUUUAAAGAAAGCGUAACAGCUCACUGGACUAGCGAAGAUGCGCCGAAAAUGUAACGGGGCUCAAACUAUAUACCGAAGUUGAAAACCACCUGACUAUGUCAGGUAGGUGGUAGGAGAGUGUCCUGCACGCACUGAAGGUGUUGUGAAAACAAUGCUGGAGCUUGCAGGAGCAACAAUGCUGACAUGAGUAACGUCGUAUGAUGAAAAUUCAUACCGCCGAAUUCCUAAGAAUUCCUACGCAACGUUCAUCGUCGUAGGGUUAGUCGGGACCUAAGGUUAAUCCGGAAACGGAGUGCCGAUGGAUAGCUGGUUAAUAUUCCAGCACCUAUUUAUACAGUGAUGUGGUGACGCAUCGAGAUUUGUAAGAGCUUGCUAAGGAUGUGAGUUGAACAAGCAAGACCAGUCUGAUUUAUCAGACAGGCAGAGGCAGGCAAAUCCGCCUUUGUUGACGUCGAGCUUUAUCAGGAAGGAUCCCUUCGGGGUGAAUUAUUCUUAUCGUUUCGGUGCCAAGAAAAACCACUAAACUUAUGUAUAAGUAGCCCGUAUUCAGAUCUAACACUAGUAGGAAGGUAGAGAAUACCAAGGCGAUCGAGAUAACUAAUGAUUAAGGAACUUGGCAAAUCAGCGGGCGUAAGUUCGCAAUAAGCCCUGCCUACAGCAAUGUAGGCCGCAGCAAAUGACAUGGGGGGGACUGUUUAUCAAAAACACAGCUCUCUGCUAACUCGUAAGAGGAUGUAUAGAGGGUGAUGCCUGUCCAAUGCCAGAAUGUUACGCUUUCUUGUUUACGCUCGAAAGUUAAGCACUGGUGAAUGACGGCCGUAACUAUGACGGUCCUAAGGUAGCGAAAUUCCUUGUCGGGUAAGUUCCGACGCGCAUGAAUGGCACAACCAUCUCCACACUGUCUUAAUCUUAGACUCGGUGAAAUUACAUUCCCGGUAAAAAUGCCGGGUAGUUGCAGUUAGACGGAAAGACCCUGUGAAGCUUUACUGUAAAUUGAUAUUGGGCUGUAGUAUGUGUUGCUCAGCAUAAGUGGGAGACUUUGAUGUUUGGACUUUGGUCUGGGCGGAGUCACCAAUGAGAUACCACUCACUACAUAUAGCAUCUCUAAUCCCGCAACAACGGGAAACAGUGUCAGUUGGUCAGUUUACCUGGGGCGGGUGCCUCCUAAAAAGUAACGGAGGCGUACAAAGGUUUGCUUGCUACGGAUGGAAACCGUGGUGGACGUAUAUUAGCAAAAGCAAGCUUAACUGUGAGACUAACAGGUCGAACAGAUACGAAAGUAGGUUAAAGUGAUCCGGAUCUUCCAUGUGGAAGGGGAUCCGCUCAACGGAUAAAAGUUACUCCGGGGAUAACAGGCUAAUGGAAUCUAAGCGUUCACAGCGACGAUUCCGUUUGGCACCUCGAUGUCGGCUCGUCGCAUCCUGGGGCUGUAGAAGGUCCCAAGGGUUGGGCUGUUCGCCCAUUAAAGCGGGACGCGAGUUGGGUUCAGAACGUCGUGAGACAGUUCGGUCCCUAUCUACUGUAACCGCAAGCAAUUUGAGAGAACCUGUCCCUAGUACGAGAGGACCGGGAUGGACAAGCCUCUAGUUGACCAGUUGUCACGCCAGUGGCACGGCUGGGUAGCUACGCUUGGAAUAGAUAACCACUGAAAGCAUCUAAGUGGGAAACUUGCCUCAAGAUUAGAUUGCUCUCUCUUCGGAGUUAAGAUCCCCUGUAGACUACAGGGUUGAUAGGUGUCAUGUGGAAGUCCAGUAAUGGAUUGAGCAGAGACAUACUAAUAGAUCGAGUGGAAUUUGU
rnacentral:rRNA from 1 species